UACGAAGGGGGCUAGCGUUGUUCGGAAUUACUGGGCGUAAAGCGCACGUAGGCGGAUAUUUAAGUCAGGGGUGAAAUCCCGGGGCUCAACCCCGGAACUGCCUUUGAUACUGGGUAUCUGGAGUCCGGAAGAGGUGAGUGGAAUUCCCAGUGUAGAGGUGAAAUUCGUAGAUAUUCGGAGGAACACCGGUGGCGAAGGCGGCUCACUGGUCCGGUACUGACGCUGAGGCAAGAAAGCGUGGGGAGCGAACAGG
rnacentral:rRNA from 1 species